rnacentral:rRNA from 1 species
UACGGGAGGCAGCAGUAGGGAAUCUUCCGCAAUGGACGAAAGUCUGACGGAGCAACGCCGCGUGAGUGAAGAAGGUUUUCGGAUCGUAAAACUCUGUUGUCAGAGAAGAACAAGUUGGAGAGUAACUGCUCCAGCCUUGACGGUAUCUGACCAGAAAGCCACGGCUAACUACGUGCCAGCAGCCGCGGUAAUA